UACGAAGGGGGCUAGCGUUGUUCGGAUUAACUGGGCGUAAAGCGCGCGUAGGCGGGUUUUUAAGUCAGGGGUGAAAUCCCAAGGCUCAACCUUGGAACUGCCUUUGAUACUGGAAAUCUUGAGUCCGGGAGAGGUGAGUGGAACUGCGAGUGUAGAGGUGAAAUUCGUAGAUAUUCGCAAGAACACCAGUGGCGAAGGCGGCUCACUGGCCCGGUACUGACGCUGAGGUGCGAAAGCGUGAGGAGCAAACAGG
rnacentral:rRNA from 1 species